GUUUGACCUCGGAUCAGGUAGGGUUACCCGCUGAACUUAAGCAUAUCAAUAAGCGGAGGAAAAGAAACCAACAGGGAUUGCCUUAGUAACGGCGAGUGAAGCGGCAAC
rnacentral:rRNA from 1 species